rnacentral:piRNA from 1 species
UGAAGGGGUUUCUGUGAGUGUGUGU